GGAACGAUGGCUCAGCGGUAGAGCAGCGGCCAGGUGCCGCGGGUCGCGGGUUCGACUCCCGCUCGUUUCC
rnacentral:tRNA from 1 species